AAAAAGACAAAUUUUGGGUUUCUACGUUCAACGUUUGAUUUUUCGUUUUAUAUGAAAUUUUUUUACAAUUAGUAUUUUUGUUGUUGGUAGAUAAUAAAACAUGAUUAAUAUUUUAUGCGUGACUUGUCCUUUUAAUUUUUUUAAUAUUUUUUUUAAAUAAUACGGACGGUCAAACAUUAGAUAUGGAAACCUAGGUUUGUUAAUAUU
rfam:Oryza barthii chromosome 2, whole genome shotgun sequence.